AUAGAUGUUUGUUUAACUGGAAAUCCACCAGAGCAGCUGCCCAGUGCAACGGUACAUAUUUGCUUCUGAAUCCUUUCUCAAAGGCACUAUUUAAACAUGUUGAUGAACUGGGCUGGAUUUAUCCCCACCUCCAUUCCAGCAAAACAAGGAGACUCAGAAGAUAAAAUUUGUUUUGUUAUUGCAAGUAGUGCUCCAUGGUUUUAGACAUUAUAGUGAACAUCUUUGCCAUCUCAAGGAUAUACACAGAAUGUUUCUGCUUGAUGUUUUCUGUGAGGAGACCAGGGAAUUGAGGAGAGGUCAAGGAGCUGCUGACCUCUCUACCAGGUGCAGCAUUAAAUAAGAGAUGUGAACUCACCAUAGCAACUCCUGCAUCACAUUGCAGAUAUGCUGCUUCUAAGAUACGGCAAAUGUUUCUGAAGAAAUGUACCUGAAUUUGAGGUGAAAUGCAGUUUGGGAAGACAGAUAAUAACACUCAAUUGCUACUCGUCAUUUUACUGAUGGAUAGUCUAGAGGAGGUGAGGUGUUUCAUCUUGGGAUAAUUUUUGUGGCUCACCUCUGGAUGUGCUCCAACAGAUCACAUCUAUGCUGUACUGAGAACUCAACAUCUGGACACAGUACUCCAGGUGAGGUUUCCCCAGAGCAGAGUGGAGGGGCAGGAUCACCUCCCUCACUAUGCUGGCUGUGCUUCCUUCAAUGCAGCCCAGGAUACAGUUAGCUUACUGGGCUGUGAUGGCACACUGCUGGUUCACAUCCAGUUUGCCAUCCACCAGUACUCUGAAGUUCUUUUUGGCAGGGUACUGCUCAAACCUUUCUAGGUCUUUCCAGAUGGCAUCUUUUCCCUCAGGUCUGUUGACUGCUCCACACAGCUUGGUGUCACCCACAAACUUGGUCCCAACAUCUAUUGCCAUACCACCAACAUUUGCCUCUGAUGUCAUGGGCAAGCAUAAUAAAGAGGAGGCAUUACUUUUGGAGCUGCCCUCUGCAAAUUUUAUUCUAAAAUUUUGAAUGUCUGUAGUAAUACCACUCCAGUCUAUAUUUAAACUGUCACUAAGUUAUCUUUAGUUGCAACAGAAUCCUACUAAUUCUAUGAAAAAAGAACAACUGCUGAAUGACGUAUUUGGGGUAAAUGCAGUAUUAAAAGCUUUAAUUUAAAAGUGUUUAUUCACAAAUUGACAUAAAGUCUCAGCAGGACUUUAGGACAAAAACUGAAGUUAUUUGGCAUAUUUUAUGUAUAAUUGAGCUCAUUAACUGCAAGACUCAGCACAAGUCACAUUUUCCAAGUAAGAUCCCGAUGUACCCUACUUCACCUGGACACUUUCUAAUUAAUACUGAGAUACAUAUACAACUCCCAACUCACUCCAUUGCCCAGCCCCCAUCAUUCCUUAACAGAAGUUUAAGGUUGUGUGAUCAAGCACCUGAAGGGCCGUGCUCUCAGGUCAUGCCCAUUGCACAAGCGUGCCUAAUGUUCAGUGCUCUGAUGUUUUCAUGUUCACUGUUGCUAUGCCUGCCAGUAUGGAGGUAGCAAGUAAAUCCUGGAAAGUCCCAGUAAACUUUUAUCAAACAGAUUUGGAACAUUUGGCUGCCAAACACUGUAGCUGUUAUGUGAACUAAGCCUGCAGCUCUCAGGGAGCUUGUAAUCUUCUGAGCUCGUAGACAAGUCAGUAUUUGAUCCAGCAUGACUCGAAAGCACCUUAUGGGUUCAGUUGAAACUAACUGUAAGUCAAAGUCCAGUUUGGCAAAACAUCUGAGCCUAAAAAUACUCUUAGAAAUUGUAAAACCUGGAAAUGUUUCUUCUGCGAAUAAUUAACAGAGAGCAUACAAUUUUUAUUUUGAAACUAUUUCUUUGUUUCAAAAGUGACUGAAGUGUUACGGUGAAGUCAAGGAAGAAUUAAAUAAGUUCAGAAUAAAAUGAUCAAUUAAAACAUCUAGUUGGUUGAACUGCCACAGACUGCUCUAUAGCCAGUAUGUAGAAAGCACUAACGUGCCAGUCUCAUGUCUACUGGGGAGAAAAAUAAAGCAGACAUGUUUUGUGUUAUUCAGCACCAUUUCAAGUUAUGCUUUCACGGAACUGAGUCUGAUAGACUACUUCAUUGUGAUUCAUCUGCCUCGGCAUGCUGAAGAACAGAAAGCAAACAGAUUCAGAAGAGAAGGCCAUGACCUCAUCAACUUGAAUACCCGCCCUACUUUGUGGUUGUCAUUAACCUGCAGUUGUUGACCAAAGGAAUCAUAAAUGUUCUAUUACAAGUAGUGACUGAUAUACUGGCUUUAAAAACCACAGACGUACCUGUUAAAUGAAUCAGCAACAGUUACUUUGACUAUAGUUACUCAGGCUUUAUUUUAUUCUGAAAUAUGGUAUGACCUGGCGUCUAUUUCACUUGCCCACACGGAAGUAAUGAUACCCAAAAGUGGGAAGAUAAUAAAAUGCACAAAAUUUAACUUUAUCAUAAUUAUUUCCAAUUAUUGCAGUUAAAGGAGCCUUGAGGAUUUUGGAGUAGAAAAAGCCCAUUCAAGCAUGCAGUCUGAAAUAAAUUCAACAUUCCGUUUGUAUGUGGAGUUGAGAUUAUAGUCUGCAGCUCAAAAAUAUCUCUUCAGUAGGGAGAGCAUGUCAACACAUCCUUGAUUAUCACUUCUUUGACUUGGGGACAUGGUGCAGUACAAAUAAUAUAAACAUAACAUUUAUUAAAUUAGCAAGAAGAACAUAUCCUAUAUGCAGAAGAAAUUGCAAGGUGAUAUCAAAGGAACUAAAGAUAUCUAAAGGAAGUGCCAAUUUCUCAUUACACUAAGAUAGUGCAUUACACGUAGCAUAAGAAAAAGAAAACAUAUUUUAAACUCUUUAGUGUUUGCAAUAUAUUUGGUAUAAUUAUUUUAUUUUCAAUUUAUGUGUUUCCUAUAACUUACUAUUUUGCUUGUUGUUGAAAAGUUUUUUCCCCUCCACUGUUUCUAAGAUCCCAUUUUAUCUGUGGUUGUUUGAAAAAUCAGAUUUCAUUGAUGUCUGAAAUAGCAGAGAAAAAUAUCAAUUGCAAUCAGUUCAAAGAGAUUUCAUACAUGUGUAAGCUGAUUUCUAAUACCAUAUAAAAUGUUUCCACAUAAAACAACUUUUUGCUUUAAUAGAAGCACAACUAUUUCUAUAUUCCUUACCACAAAAUGUGUCCAAAAUUUUUUGCAUGUGGAUGUUGCUAUAAAUCAAAUUCUGUCUACUUGGUGUUGUUACAAAGGAGAAAAAAUCUGAAUAAGGAAAUUCAAGCCAUUCCGUACACAACUGAUAAGACGUCACAGACAGCAUUUUAAGACCCAAGAAGAAUCUAAAUAUGAAGACACGAUGACAAUCAAGAUUGUGACCUAGUAAUUCCCUCAGGUAACUAUGGUUGUGACUUAACUUCUGCUAAAUGUUGAUGUGUGCUUUAAAUCCACUUAUUUCAAAAUUAUGUAAGAGAAAAAUUUAAUUCUUUCCAUAUCUGUACCUUUGUAAUUUAUAUAUAUACAUAUAUAUAUACAUGUAUAUAUAUAUAUAAAUUAAUACUUCCAAGUUCAAGGGUGCCAGGUGCCAAAUAAUUUCUGCUGAGUAAACUUUGUGUGUUGUCCUUUGAAAAAUUCUUCCGUAUUCAUUAGCAUGUAUGUGAACAAUCAUUAGUUUUAUUCCUUUUAUCUUUUGGGCUCCUGUGCCUUGAUACAAAGAGAACAGAGGCUGGGGUGCCCACAGGAAGAAGAAGAAUAAACUUUAGCAAAUGGAAUGAUAUAUCACUAUUGAAGGGUUAUGAACGUUGGUUGCAUUUUGCUUAACAUUUCAUCUCAGUGCUGCUUCAAAACUGGUUAGUAUUUAAUAAAUCAUUUAAAGAUUAUUUUGAUUGCUUGUUAAAACCUGUCAUUCAUGCUAAUUUCUACUCAAUUGAAUGUUAAUAAAAAUAUCUUUACAUGCCAAGGAUCCAACAGAGCUUACUUUUGCUUCUUAGAAGAAUUGAGCACCUAAAACAGUAAAACAGAAAAGUAAAUUCCAGUUAAUUCCAUUUAUUCACGGUACUUUCUCAUGAAUCAUCUCUCUAUAGUAAUAGAGAGAGCAAGUGAAAAGUUCAUUGUUACAUCAGCUGCCAUCUACUUAGUCAAUUUGGCAGCACCUUGGAGUCAAUAAAAAGUAAAGUAUGAUUGUAAAGCCUCCUGUCCCAAUUGUUUUUAAGUAAUGUCUGCUCUUUCAAAUUAAAAUUCCUCAAAAAGUGGCUUGCGCUUUGGUGCAGCUGUCUUUGUUUAAUCUCCUUACUUCUUUAGCUGGUUCAACUACGUUUGUACAUACUACAAAGCCACUACAAUUUGUGGCUCAAAUAAAUUCUUAAAGUUCUAGAAUUUGUAAUGGCCCUAUUUUUAGAAAAUCUAUGUAACCUGAUAGAGAAGAUAAGAAUUCAGAAAGCAUGUUUAGCCUCUAGCCUGAUGAGCUUCCUUUGUUUAUAUAACAGAUGCAUUUUUCAAAUUUCAAUAGAAUAUAAGUUACAAAGCCAAUGACUCUUUCACAGUCAGAGCAAUAAUUAUGCAGAAAUGAUGUGUUUAGAUGGCCUUCUGUAGGCUGAAGUUCCUUUGUUCUACUUGUGGCCUGAGUCAAACAGGAGCUGUAUGGCCCAAGUUAAUGACUUAUCAAGCUUGAGCAGUUUGCAUUAAAUGCACACACAUGUCUUUCAUUUGGGUCAGCACUCCCAAGAGGAAGCAUGUGUACCUCCAGAAGACCUUGUAAGUAUUGAUGAGGAUAUCACCUUGAGUCUAUCUCUGUGUAAUAUAAUUAAUUGAACAAAUGGUGCAACAAUGUUUUGCCACAAAAGAAGAGACUUAAAAUAUUGUAGUCUCUAUCGCUAUAUAAAGAUAUUAAGAGGAGGCACUGGAGCUGGGAUUGUCCUGAAGUAAAGCCUCCUUUUGCCUUGAAGCCUAUUCAGGAAUGUUUAAAGCAAAAUAGUUUUUGAAAACCUCAGCUAUCCAUUACUAUGCAAAAUAACUGAAGCAAAGAGGUUCUUCAUCAUCUCUAGGCGCCACAGGCUGAGCAUUGACUGCUUGUCUUUAUCUUGCACUUCUCUCCUUGGGUGGAGCCAUAUCCUUGCUGAGGAUCAUAGUUUCCUCUGGGAGACAGCUGCACCUGGGAAAGUGGUUCACACUCCCAUGGAUGUGUUGUAGCUCCUGUCUGCACAGAAGUGAGGAGCACAUCUGGGAUCACCAGGACCACAGCAGCAGUGGUGAUGAAUCCAGAGGGCAGAGCAGAGCAAGGACACAUAGGAGUGCUUCCCUGCCCUAGGACCUCCUUUGACCUCAGUCUCUCUUCCCAUUACUUAUUACUUUAUUUUAGCUGAUGCUGGUUUAAUGCAGAAUGAAGAAAUGGUGCUUGGAGUCAAAACUGUCCUGUUUCACCACGUGUUGAUUUGCACAGUCAUGUGUCCUUUUUGCCACCAUUUGCCUUGGUAAAUCACAGGUUUUAAAGGAAGCAUCAGCUCAUCUUACAUCUCUAACACCUAUUUUGCCCCUACAUCAAGUAGUUCUGUGUCACCAAGAUAAAAAAGUAUUGAUUUGUAUUAUGCAUGCCCUUAACAGGAUAACUUAAAAAUACUUUUGUAAAUAAACAUUGGACCAAGAAAUCCUCAUUAGUCUUUGCAGAUCAUACUGAAAAUUAUUUUUAGAUGAGUUUUAUUUCCUUCAUCUGGGGAGAAACUGAGCAUUGACUUCUGCACCUUCCUACACAGUCUUAUCCAGACUACUUUCUUAGGAGUAAAUGUAAGUCAAGAAUUGCAAAAAACACAAGUGGUGAACUCAAAUAAUUUAAUUAGACUAUCCUGAGCAAACCAUACUAAGAAAUCUAAAUUCAACGCCUGGUGUGCCUACAGUAGUUUUAUACCAAAAGUUUCACUACCUCAUAUUUCAAUCGAUCAGAUAAUAUUCAACACUGUAUAUUUUUCUUCCAAAAUGCUGUUAUCCUGCUCCAGUGGUAUUGUAAAACAUGUCAGUUUAGACAGCCCAGAGGAAACAAGAAAUAGGACAGGUCUACACCCAGGAACAGCUACUGCUGCUGCUGAUACAAUUUUGUCCAGCUACAGCACAAGGAUAACUUUUCACGAAGUAGGAAAAUCUCAAAUUCCUUACAGACAUUAUCUCCCUUACCCAAAUGUGGGAAGAGAGAAGGAAGCUCUUCAAUGGAAGAGAACCUCCCAUGAAAGUUUGGCAGGUGUUGCUGAAGAUUAAGGAUGGCAUUCCAAAGUGUCGCAGAACAAAGGAAAGGAAGCUGUUUAUUUCACAUCCCUUGUUUAGCACAAAGACAACUUUGCAUCUGAUCAAACCACAAGUGCAUUUGGUACAAAAAUAGAUUUUCUUCUCAGUACUUAACAAAAUGUAGGUUUUGGCACAAGUUUAUCGGGCAAAUUUUGCUUUUCAUUGUCGAAAAUUGUUAUAUUUAAUGUUUCCAUACAGACAAAACCAUUCCCAUUAUUUCUUUACCACUGGCAUUUAUAUGUGACCAUGCUGAAGAGGUUAUGCACGUGCCACAUAGAGGAACCAGUGAUGCCUGGCUAAACUAUCUUGGCAUAGGCAAGUGUGAUCUGGAAAAGAACAGACAUUUCCUUUGCUAAUGAAUUAGUGCAAGCAGUUGGACAGAAACAAGCUGUAAAAUGCCAACUCAGCAGGAACACUUCCUCGAAUACAUAAAAGCUGUUCCUUUACACAUGGCACAGCAAGAUCUCUCCAAGAAUUUCCAGGCCAGUAUUCUUGCUUUUCAAAGUUUUUUCAAAUAGGUACAAACCCUCCUCUCUUGAAUGCCCCAAAACAAACAGAAAGGGAUGUAAAAAUUUAGAAGCAUCAAAAUAUUAGAAUCAUCAGUCAUGCAAAGCAUGACUGGUUAAACUGGAAGAAGUGUCUCCUUGAGAUUUUGCUUCUAUCCUGAGUAUAUUUAAAAAUAAAAUGUUUGCUAUUGCUGGGAAAACAAAUAUGAUAAAUCACAGAAUCAUAGAAUAUCCUGAGAUGGAAGGGACCCUUAAGGAUCACUGGGUCCAACUCCUGGCUCCACACUGGGCUCCAUGCUCCUGGAGCACACUGGGAUGUUUUAGAGUUGAUCAAGCAUUCAAGCAUACAGCAGCUAUUCCUGUUUGCCUCUGGGAUCUGCUGCCAGAGCACCACCUGUGGCUUUGGAUUUAAUUUUAUAGGAGACACGUCAUUCCUACGUGAAAGAAGGAUCCCCUGACAGGUUCUGGGAUUAAAACAGCUCCUGCUAUUUGUGAGUAAGCAAAGUGAGUAGUUUGUGAAAGACUUAUCCUGGCAUCGCAACUGGCUCUACUGUGGUCAUCUCAGCUAAACCUGCUGUGCUAGUGAGUUCCAAAAGUUGGUCUGUAAGGUGACCUGCAUGAAGAUGCCCUGUAUAAAGAUGUCCUGCAAUAUGUGGAGCAGGACUGGCAAUAGCAAGAUGGAGGGAAAAAUGGGAGACCAAGAGGAAGAGAAAUCAGUGAGGUAUGAAGACGGGGACACCUAAGUAGAUUGUAUCUACUUUAAAAAAAUGUUAUAUCAAAAUAUGCAGCAGUAAGGUAAAGAAUGUGCCCUACUGUCAUCAACAAACUGACUGCAAUACCCUCUUCUGAUCACAACAUUUUUGACUUACAUAGAUUUCACUGAUGCUCAUGAUAAGAAGUGUUAAUUUUUUUUUGUCAUAAUGAUGCCUUAGAAAAACAUGUAUUCUAUUCCUGCUGAAAAUUUUCCCACUGAAGAUAAAAUUUAUCUGAAGAGUUUCCACGGGAUAUUUCUACAUGGUGCUCCAGUGAUGGAAGUUUUGCUUUGACUAUUUUUAAUGGCGUUUUGUUGACUCACUUCAAUAAAAUAUUUUUGUUUUCUUAACUGAAUCAGUGUUCAUGUUAAAUACUUUCACAGCUCAUUUCCAUUUGGAACAAAAAUGAUUCUGGAAUUUCCCAUGAGAUAGACUGUGUAGUUUCAAUUUGCAUAACAGUUAUAUUGAAGAUGCUAUCAAAG